CCCGGGGCGCCAGCAACGCCGCGGGAGAUUUGCCUGGUUUCAGCACCGGGCACGUGGAAAGCACUGGGGAAGUCAGGACAAACUCCGACUUCAUCCAGACACUGAGCUGUGUGUCCGGCUCCACAGGCUAGACACCCACGUGGACCUACAUUCCUAUUCCAGUUGAUUUGUUGUAUAAUUCCAUGGUGAAAACGAGACCGGGAGCCAUUUUUCAGCACUAGUGUGCUGUGACACUGCUGUAUUUUUAUGUCUGAUUUUGUAAACGAGUCAUUUUUAAGUGAGAUGAAACUUGGGGAUACCCAAGACAAAUCAAACUCCUGCAAGGGAUACAGUGCGUAAGCCAGACUGAGUCACAGCAAAGGCUCUUCCCUUUCUCUGGAGGUGAUGGAAUAUCAGGACAGGAUUGGAUUCCUAACAGCCCAAUAGCACCUUUUUUCAAUGUGAGUAGUUUGGAAUGUGAGGAUGUGACCACAUACUUCCCAGUUUAUGGCUGCCUCUGCUGCUUAGCCGAAGGCCUCGUGAGAGACAGCCCUUACACCGGCAGACAGUGAUUUUGAUUCUUUUAUACCUCUAUAACUAGCUAAGUGAUAAGAAUACACCUAAAUUCUUAAAGUAUAGGCCUUUGCAGACAGGCCUGAAUAUCUGUAUCCUAACACAGUUAAUAUGAAGAUGUUAAUGUCUUGUUUUGUUAAUCGUGAGAGCAGCUGGUAUCAAAUGUAAAUUAUACUGUUAACUUAGAGUUUUCACACCAUUUUGUCGUGGCUCUAUAACACUCUGCCAAACGUGGAAAAUGGUGACUCUGGAAGCAUUCCGUUUGGUGUGCUCGCUGCAGCAGUUCCCGCUCUUCCUGGGGGGUGGGGGGGUGCUAAUGGAACGGAUGCAAAUAGACAGGGAUGUCCUUGCAGAAUUGGAUAUUACACAAUCUGGUCUAAACAGCUGUGGGAACUUUAGCUGCACUGAAAACAGAAAAUUAUAGAGGAUAAUAUAUAAAAAGUCCCGUUUUAAGGGGACCUGUACAGUCUCUAGUCAGAAGUAUUGACCAGACACCAAAAGUGAGUUACCACAAUUGUCUGUCGUCUUCUAGCGUCCUGCAACAAAUGAAACCAGUAAUUAGUGUACUAGAUCUGUCAAAAAAUCUGUGAGUGACUCUUUGAAUAACUUUUUUAUUGCACCACCACAAGCAGCAGGGAGCAGCUGGCAUACACACUCGACACUCUUAUCUGGUGGCUGCACUGUGCUUCAGUCAGACAGCGCGAGGGUGAAAUGAUGGAACCCGAAAAGAAAAAGCGUCGAAGGCUGUGCUCGUUCAAAGAUGAGUGGCUGCAGCUCGCAGAAUAUCGGAACUGGCUUACAAAGGCAAGUGAAGACUCAGGAUAUUGUUCUAUUUGCCGUGUUCAAUUCAUGGUUAAGUUUGAUUCUGUAAAAGCUAUUAAGCAUCAUGCGGAGACAAAAGGUCACAGAAUCAAAGUACAAGGACAGGUAUGGUCCAGCACUAGCAAUAAAGUCUCCAUAAAGACGGAUAAUGCUGAAGAACAACACAUAUGCACAGCUGAAUUGCUUUUAAUGUAUCACGGCGUUAAACACCACCACAGCUACCAUUCUCAAGACUGUGGAAAUAAACUGUACCCCUCCAUUUUCCCUGACUCCAAGAUAGCGUCCAGAAUUCACUGCGGAAUGACAAAAGCAGCAGCUUUGAUUGAGAACAUUUUAGCCCCUCAUUCAUUGAAACUGGCUGUGCAAGACAUUGGAUCAACACCUUUUGCAAUAGUGACAGAUGCGGCUAAUACAGGGAACACAAUAUUAUUCCCAGUUGCCGUCCGCUACUUUAAUAAAGAUAAGGGAAUCUGUAUGUAUCGUAGACUUUUUUGAGGAUGGAGAGGAAACAUCAGAGGCAAUCGCAAAGAACUUAAGAAGUUGUCUUCAAAAUUCCAGUCUGAUACGGAAUAAAAUUGUAGCGUACGGAGCAGUCAAUUUUGGAGAAAACAAGUCUGUUUUUCUGCACCUAAAACAAAUGUUGGAUUUACCAAACCUUGUGCCAGGGUAUUGCAGUGCUCACAUAGUGCACAAUACAGCAAAACAUGGCUUGGAAAUGCUCUCUUACGAUGUAGAAUACUUUGUCAUCAAGGUCUUCAGUGAAUUCUCAUCCAGCGCAAAGAAUAUCAGUGAACUUGAAGAAUUCUGUGACUUUGUGGAGACAGAAUAUUCAGAAAUCUUACACCAGCUCCCUAAAUGUUUUCUGACCCUUUUCACUACCGUAGACAGGUUACUGAAGAAUUGGCCAGCACUCAAAUCUUACUUUGUGAAUAAAGGCAAGGAAGAUGUGAGCUGCACAGUAUGGGCCUUUCUUGCUGAGCAAGAGGACAGUUUCCAAUGAUGAAACUAUUACGCUUCCAGAACUGUACAUCUACUUUGUGCACAACAUUCUAAGCCAAUUUAACAAUACAAUAAAGGCUCUUGAGAGUGAUUACAUUCAGGUCACUGAACUGUAUGCCACAUUCAACAAGCUGAGAAGAGAGAUUCAGAAUCGACAAGAGAAAGGCUUCUAUGGGUACAAAGUGACACAGUUCUUGAAGAAGCUACCAUUUAACAAGCAGAAUAAAUUUGUUGGUGAUGCCCAACAGGCUUACACAAGCAUGCUGCAGUACCUGGAAUAGUGCUUUGAUUUCAGCGAAAACUCUUUCUAUAAGUUGUGUGCACCACUCAGUCUGGACGAACCUCUUCAGCUAGACAAACUGUGUGCGUUGUCUACAGACUUGAACAUUAAAGUGGACAUAGAUGAAUUAUUUACAGAAACGUGCAUACUGAAUGAUGUGCUACGAAUCCUAAAGAGUUCAAUAAAUGAUGCUGAAUCAACACGGUGCCAGCAGCAGCAAGAGUGUUGCCAUCAAAUCAAUGUCUCUGAAGUGUGGAUAGAACUCUUUAAGUGCUGCGAGGCCCCAAACUUGCUUAGAAUUGUGCAGCAUGUGUUUGCUGUUCCACCGGCAACGCAUUUGUGGAGUGCAUUUCCAGCGUCAUGAAGAACUUGUGGGCUGAUGAAAGGAAUCAACUCCAUGUGGACAUGGUGAAAGCUGAGCUAUUCGUACACUUCAACUAUAAAAUGACUUGUGCCAAGUUUGCUGGAUUUUUGCAGACAGGAGCGGCUAGGGAGCUUGUGGCAGCGGCAACAAAGGAUCAGAAGUUUCAAUUGCCACUCACACCGCCCUGUCUGGGCUAGAAUACAAUAGCAUUGUAGUAAUAUUUUGUUAUCCUAAAAAAAGUUAAAACAUUGAGUACACAAAACAGAGUUGGAAUAUGAAUUAGUAGAGUAUAUCUGAGGUUGCUUUAACUUCAUUACUUGUGGGCCAGGCAGACAUGGAGCUGGCCUACAACAAAGGUGAUUAAGCCCCAUCACUGUCCUGUUCGUGCCUCAAGUGGAGAAAUAAAUGCACAGAGAAUUGAGGCCUAUAUGUUUGCAUUGUUCCACAUAAAUAUCGUUACAAUGAAAGUUCCUUGUGGCUGCGCUAGGGAGUUUCUUGACCUGUUCUUGUUACACUUUUGUUUUACUUCUGAGGAAUAAAGAUUAUACAAAGUUUGUAUGAAAUGAUUACGCAGUAUCUGGUGACGUGUCCAGAAAUGCAAAACUUUGCACCUAACCAUAUAGUAAAGCGCACACA